rnacentral:rRNA from 1 species
UACGUAGGGUGCGAGCGUUGUCCGGAAUUACUGGGCGUAAAGAGCUCGUAGUGGUUUGUCGCGUUGUUCGUGAAAACUCACAACUCAAUUGUGGGCGUGCGGCGAUACGGGCAGACUGGAGUACUGCAGGGGAGACUGGAAUUCCUGGUGUAGCGGUGGAAUGCGCAGAUAUCAGGAGGAACACCGGUGGCGAAGCGGGUCUCUGGGCAGUGAACUGACGCUGAU